rnacentral:rRNA from 3 species
UCUAGCGACAAUAGCACUGUGGCACCACCUGAUCCCAUUCCGAACUCAGAAGUGAAACGCAGUAGCGCCGAUGGUAGUGUGGGAGUUCCCAU